rnacentral:rRNA from 1 species
GAUGAACGCUAGCGGCAGGCUUAACACAUGCAAGUCGAGGGGUAACAGCAGAGCUUGCUCUGGCUGACGACCGGCGCACGGGUGCGUAACGCGUAUACAAUUUGCCUUGUACUGGAGGAUAGCCCUAAGAAAUUGGGAUUAAUACUCCAUAGUAUUCAUGAUUCGCAUGUUUUAUGAAUUAAAGCUUCGGUGGUACAAGAUGAGUAUGCGUCCUAUUAGUUAGUUGGUGAGGUAACGGCUCACCAAGACAACGAUAGGUAGGGGGCCUGAGAGGGUUAUCCCCCACACUGGUACUGAGACACGGACCAG